rnacentral:rRNA from 1 species
UGGGGAAUUUUGGACAAUGGGCGAAAGCCUGAUCCAGCAAUGCCGCGUGUGUGAAGAAGGCCUUCGGGUUGUAAAGCAACUUUUGUCCGGAAAGAAAUCCUUGGCUCUAAUACAGUCGGGGGAUGACGGUACCGGAAGAAUAAGCACCGGCUAACUACGUGCCAGCAGCCGCGGUAAUACGUAGGGUGCAAGCGUUAAUCGGAAUUACUGGGCGUAAAGCGUGCGCAGGCGGUUUGCUAAGACCGAUGUGAAAUCCCCGGGCUCAACCUGGGAACUGCAUUGGGUGACUGGCAGGCUAGAGUAUGGCAGAGGGGGGUAGAAUUCCACGUGUAGCAGUGAAAUGCGUAGAGAUGUGGAGGAAUACCGAUGGCGAAAGGCAGCCCCCUGGGGCCAAAUACUGACGCUCAUGCACGAAAGCGUGGGGAGCAAACAGGAUUAGAUACCCUGGUAGUCCACGCCCUAAAGCGAUGUCAACUAGUUGUUGGGGACUUCAUUUUCCUUAGUAACGUAGCUAACGCGUGAAGUUGACCGCCUGGGGAGUACGGUCGCAAGAUUAAAACUCAAAUGAAUUGACGGGG